GGGGAUGAACUGAUUUCGACGUGCUGACGGAUGAUCGAAGCUGCGUGCCGCGGCGCCCGAGGCCGCGUUAACAACGGGUAACACUACUUAUCUGCCGAAGAAACACCGGCACGUAUGGCUGCCUAAACGCAGCCAUCCCCGACUCGCUGAUGCCGCGAUCAGCGAUAGGGCCAUGCGUAGCGGCUGGCACACACAGUGAUUACUGGCGAUGAUGGGUGUGCGAGAACAAGUGUUGUCUGCGGCUAGGUGCUGCUUGCCGGCUCACUGGCCUAGCUCAAGUGGAGAACCGGACACGCACGUGGACGAAGCCCGAUCUGAAAUCUGCGCGGACGCGGGUUUGACUCCCGCCAUCUCCACCA
rnacentral:tmRNA from 1 species